CCUACGGGUGGCAGCAGUGAGGAAUAUUGGUCAAUGGGCGCGAGCCUGAACCAGCCAAGUAGCGUGAGGGAUGAAGGCCCUACGGGUUGUAAACUUCUUUUAUAAGGGAAUAAAGUGAGGCACGUGUGCCGUUUUGUAUGUACCUUAUGAAUAAGGAUCGGCUAACUCCGUGCCAGCAGCCGCGGUAAUACGGAGGAUCCGAGCGUUAUCCGGAUUUAUUGGGUUUAAAGGGAGCGUAGGUGGGGUGUUAAGUCAGUUGUGAAAGUUUGUGGCUCAACCGUAAAAUUGCAUUUGAUACUGGGAGUCUUGAGUACAGUUGAGGUAGGCGGAAUUCGUGGUGUAGCGGUGAAAUGCUUAGAUAUCACGAAGAACUCCGAUUGCGAAGGCAGCUUACUAAAC
rnacentral:rRNA from 1 species